AAAUUGGUUUCAGGAGCACAGUGCAUUCAGGCCGGACCUCAUACUAAGAAUCAGCAGGUUCUGCAGGAGCCCCCCACAUUUACCAAGAAAAUUCCUUUAUGCACCCAAAAAAGAAAUCUUUGUUUUUUGUUUUUUUAAGCAGCAACAGCACCAACAGCUGGAGCUUUUUGAAU